AUUGAACGCUGGCGGCAUGCUUUACACAUGCAAGUCGAACGGCAGCGCGGGCUUCGGCCUGGCGGCGAGUGGCGAACGGGUGAGUAAUGCAUCGGAACGUGCCCAGUAGUGGGGGAUAGCCCGGCGAAAGCCGGAUUAAUACCGCAUACGACCUGAGGGUGAAAGCGGGGGACCGAAAGGCCUCGCGCUAUUGGAGCGGCCGAUGUCGGAUUAGCUAGUUGGUGGGGUAAAGGCUUACCAAGGCGACGAUCCGUAGCUGGUCUGAGAGGACGACCAGCCACACUGGGACUGAGACACGGCCCAGACUCCUACGGGAGGCAGCAGUGGGGAAUUUUGGACAAUGGAGGCAACCCUGAUCCAGCCAUGCCGCGUGUGGGAAGAAGGCCUUCGGGUUGUAAACCGCUUUUGUUCGGGAAGAAAUCCUCUGGGCUAAUACCCCGGGGGGAUGACGGUACCGGAAGAAUAAGCACCGGCUAACUACGUG
rnacentral:rRNA from 1 species